UACGGGGGGGGCUAGCGUUGUUCGGAAUUACUGGGCGUAAAGGGCGCGUAGGCGGCCUACUAAGUCGGACGUGAAAUCCCUCGGCUCAACCGGGGAACUGCGUCCGAUACUGGUGGGCUCGAAUCCGGGAGAGGGAUGUGGAAUUCCAGGUGUAGCGGUGAAAUGCGUAGAUAUCUGGAGGAACACCGGUGGCGAAGGCGGCAUCCUGGACCGGUAUUGACGCUGAUGCGCGAAAGCCAGGGGAGCAAACGGGG
rnacentral:rRNA from 1 species